rnacentral:lncRNA from 1 species
CUUGUAUUAUUUUAACUUUUAGUUUUUUGUAUAUAAUUUUGAAUUUAGUACUGAACUAGUAUAUAUUUGUUUAGGGGCCAGCUGAAGGACGCCUCCGGGUGCGGGAUUUUCUCGUUGCAUUGAAGACCUAUUGGUGACCUUCUGCUGUUUUCUGCUCUAUGGUGGGGUUGUUGUCUCUUUGGCACAUUCCCCAUUUCCAUUCUCAAUUUUAUUAGU